CCAGCUCCAGCCACGUUAGGGCCUCUCAGACCAACCUCCCACCAGUGCCCCUCCUGGGCCCUUCUGCGCGGGGCACCAGGCCGCAGGAUGAGCAGACCCAAGUGGCUGGUGGGAGGGCUCUGGGAGCACGGACACUGCGCCAGAAUGCCACUCCUAGGCAAGACGGGGAACACGACUUCCCAGUUCCCCAGAGAGCGGAAGUGAGAUCCUGGGAGACCGCCAGCUCCAGAGCCUGCUUCACCAGCAGAGCUGGACGAGACUCGAGGCCACCUGCUGGACCAGCUCGGGGACGUACUGGCCAAGGGCAUCCCCAGGGGAGCCAGGUCCACAGGAGGAAGCGUGGCUUCUGGCUGCUGCCCCUACCAACCGGGCACUGGAGCUCUGAGGGGCGAGGACAGCGCUACCUCAGAGACUAACCCACAACUCCAGGCCGGACGCCCAGGACCCACACGGAGAGGUGCGAAGUGGCAGCUCUGGCCCCCAUCCAGAAAGCACAGCGUGGGCUUGGCACAGACGCCACCUCGCCGUGCACGCGUGUCAGCCUGGAAGACCCGGGACGCCACAGCAGCCUCCCAGCACGGCGACCCCUCACAGGCCGUUCCUCCACCCACUCGCUCACCCACUGCCUCACCCCCAGAUGGCCGUGCCCAUCAAGAUGAGAGGCCCAUCAAGCCCUCUCCCCUGCUCCUGCACACUUCCCGCUCCCCUCACCGAGACCUCUCUGCUUCCUUCCAGCCAGCUCCUCUAGUAAACUCAACACCGCGUGUGCCCUGGGUCGCCUGGCCCCAGGCCUCUCCCAUCGGCACGGCCACGCGUGCUGUGGUGAAGCUGCAGCUCUGAUGUGCACGCUCACACGGCACCUGUCCCUGUGCACCACAAGGGAGAACACACCAUCCACAACCACUGGCUCCCUCCGUCUUCAGCAGGAACCUCAGAGGGCUGCAGGCCUGGCCCACCUCCCCGACGAGCCCUGGUGAGUUUUCCUCACUGGUCUUCUCAGCUUCCCAACUCUGCACUGCUGUCCUCAUCCGACCAGUGUCUCGAUCCCCGCAUCACUGAGAAAACUCCGGCCUUCCUGCCCGUGGGGCACUUCCCACAGGAUACUUUCUGUGUGCCCAGCUCCAACGCCUCUGCCCCAUUUCGAAGGCCAGCACCCUCCCUGCCGGGCGCAGACGUCCUCGGGGCUCCAGUCUCGGUCUCCGCACCCCUCUUUCCUGCUGCAGUGGCCCGGGAACGUGCCGCAUUUCUCCCCAGUGACAAAUGAGCUCUCUGGAACCCUCCACCCUGACACCUUCCUGUCCGUCUUGUAGCAAACUUUCCCGAAGCGCUGUGCAAGCUUGCUUUUCUAACUCCCACUUCGUGCUUUCGGUCAGACCCACUGCAGUAAAACACUUGCCUUCGUGACGCC
rnacentral:lncRNA from 1 species